AUUGAACGCUGGCGGCAUGCCUUACACAUGCAAGUUGAACGGUAACGGGCCUUCGGGUGCCGACGAGUGGCGAACGGGUGAGUAAUGCAUCGGAACGUACCUUUCAGUGGGGGAUAACGUAGCGAAAGUUACGCUAAUACCGCAUAUUCUGUGAGCAGGAAAGCAGGGGAUCGCAAGACCUUGCGCUGAUUGAGCGGCCGAUGUCAGAUUAGCUAGUUGGUGAGGUAAAGGCUCACCAAGGCGACGAUCUGUAGCGGGUCUGAGAGGAUGAUCCGCCACACCG
rnacentral:rRNA from 1 species